AAUUUUUGUACUCAGACUAAGAACGCCACGUCCUGUGGCAAAGACUGAGUGAUCAACAUCGUGUUGG
rnacentral:sRNA from 1 species